UUUGUAGUAUAAGUAUGUCCCACUGAUUUGGAAAAUACUUAUAUUACAA
rnacentral:miRNA from 1 species